rnacentral:rRNA from 1 species
GACUUUGAGCCUGCUUGUGUAGGAUAGGUGGGAGGCUUUGAAGCGUGGACGCCAGUUCGCGUGGAGCCAUCCUUGAAAUACCACCCUGGCAUGCUUGAGGUUCUAACUCUGGUCCGUGAUCCGGAUCGAGGACAGUGUAUGGUGGGCAGUUUGACUGGGGCGGUCUCCUCCUAAAGAGUAACGGAGGAGUACGAAGGUGCGCUCAGACCGGUCGGAAAUCGGUCGCAGAGUAUAAAGGCAAAAGCGCGCUUGACU